CAAAGCCUACGGGGCGCAGCAGUAGGGAAUAUUGCUCAAUGGGGGAAACCCUGAAGCAGCAACGCCGCGUGGAGGAUGAAGGUUUUCGGAUUGUAAACUCCUUUUGUUAGAGAAGAUAAUGACGGUAUCUAACGAAUAAGCACCGGCUAACUCCGUGCCAGCAGCCGCGGUAAUACGGAGGGUGCAAGCGUUACUCGGAAUCACUGGGCGUAAAGAGCGCGUAGGCGGGAUAGCAAGUCAGAUGUGAAAUGCUAUGGCUUAACCAUAGAACUGCAGUUGAAACUGUUAUUCUAGAGUAUGGGGGG
rnacentral:rRNA from 1 species